AGAGUUUGAUCAUGGCUCAGGACGAACGCUGGCGGCGUGCCUAAUACAUGCAAGUCGAGCGAACAGAGAAGGAGCUUGCUCCUUUGACGUUAGCGGCGGACGGGUGAGUAACACGUGGGCAACCUACCCUAUAGUUUGGGAUAACUCCGGGAAACCGGGGCUAAUACCGAAUAAUCUAUUGUCCCUCAUGGGACAAUACUGAAAGACGGUCUUGGCUGUCGCUAUAGGAUGGGCCCGCGGCGCAUUAGCUAGUUGGUGAGGUAACGGCUCACCAAGGCAACGAUGCGUAGCCGACCUGAGAGGGUGAUCGGCCACAUUGGGACUGAGACACGGCCCAGACUCCUACGGGAGGCAGCAGUAGGGAAUCUUCCACAAUGGGCGAAAGCCUGAUGGAGCAACGCCGCGUGAGUGAAGAAGGAUUUCGGUUCGUAAAACUCUGUUGUUAGGGAAGAACAAGUACAGUAGUAACUGGCUGUACCUUGACGGUACCUUAUUAAAAGGGCACGGCAAACUACGUGCCAGCAGCCGCGGUAAUACGUAGUGGCAAACGUUGUCCGGAAUUAUUGGGCGUUAAGCGCGCGCCCGUGGUUUCUUUAAGUCUGAUGUUGAAAACCCACGGCUCAACCGUGGAGGGUCAUUUGGAAACUGGGAAACUUAAUUGCAGAAGAGGAUAGUGGAAUUCCAAGUGUAGCGGUGAAAUGCG
rnacentral:rRNA from 1 species